CGUCCCAGUCCGGAUUGCAGUCUGCAACUCGACUGCAUGAAGUCGGAAUCGCUAGUAAUUCUGGAUCAGCAUGCCAGGGUGAAUGCGUUCCCGGGUCUUGUACACACCGCCCGUCACACCAUGGAAGUUGGGGGCGCCCGAAGUUGGUCGAGGAAUAGAUUACCUAAGGCGAAACCAAUGACUGGGGUGAAGUCGUAACAAGGUAGC
rnacentral:rRNA from 1 species